rnacentral:lncRNA from 12 species
GUGGCCUGGCCCCCGAUUCCUUCUCAUUCACAUUAUUUUUUAAAAAGAUUUUAUUUAUCCACGAGCGACAGAGAGAGAGAGAGAGAGAGAGAGAGAGAGGCAGAGACACAGGCAGAGGGAGAAGCAGGCUCCAUGCAGCGAGCCCGAUGCGGGACUCGAUCCCGGGACCCCGGGGUCACGCCCUGACCCAAAGGCAGAGCCCCAACCGCUGAGCCUCCCAGCCCCCCCCCUUUCACUUUUACAUCAUCUUUUACGGUUAACCUAAUCGUUUCUGUUUUCCGCUCCCUCCCCCACAACUAGGCCCCUCAGGGUGGAGCUGACCGCGCCCCUGUCCUCGCAGGGCUCAGGAAAGUGCGGGGGCGCAGCAUCACUCCGCGGCUGGGCAGCCACCGAGGGACACGUUCUUCUGUGCUCAGGGAGAGGAUGCGCCCGGGGUUGGGGAGGGCAGGCCCGGGCUGGCGCAGCCGACAUCCCCCGCGGGGCCUGGGACCCUGCCUCCCCCCAACCCACCCUUCGGAGGUGCAGGACGCUCCUGCCGCCCCUGGUACCCCGGGCCUUGCUGCUUCCUCUGACCACCUCGGAUGCUUCAGAAUCCAGCAGGUCUCCGUCUCUCCGUUGGAGGAGAUGCUAGUCCCGGAGCCUGAAGGACCCUCAGAUGAUGAUGUGAUCGGAGUAAUACCGCCUUUCCAAGGUCGAUUAUUUCCAUUCCAUCCGUGCAUGAAGAAUUCUGGUGGACCAGGACAGACUGCUGGCGGGAAGCGGGGAAACUAG